rnacentral:rRNA from 1 species
AUUGAACGCUGGCGGCAGGCCUAACACAUGCAAGUCGAGCGAGCGGCGGGCGGGUGAGGAAUGUAUGGGGAUCUGCCCGAUGGGGGGGGAUAACUACUGGAAACGGUAGCUAAUACUGCAUACUAUCGGACGUAGCCAUAUGGGAUUAGCUAGUAGGUGAGGUAAGGGCUCACCUAGGCGACGAUCCCUAGCUGGUCUGAGAGGAUGAUCAGCCACACUGGAACUGAGACACGGCCCAGACUCCUACGGGAGGCAGCAGUGGGGAAUAUUGCACAAUGGGCGAAAGCCUGAUGCAGCCAUGCCGCGUGUAUGAAGAAGGCCUUCGGGUUGUAAAGUACUUUCAGCGGGGAGGCGUUACCCGCAGAAGAAGCACCGGCUAACUCCGUGCCAGCAGCCGCGGUAAUUC